GACAGAGGGUGCAAACGUUGUUCGGAAUUACUGGGCGUAAAGCGCGUGUAGGUGGCGAGGCAAGUCGGAUGUGAAAGCCCCGGGCUCAACCCGGGAAGUGCACUCGAUACUGCCACGCUAGAGUAUCGGAGAGGUUGGUGGAAUUCUCGGUGUAGAGGUGAAAUUCGUAGAUAUCGAGAGGAACACCGGUGGCGAAGGCGGCCAACUGGACGAAUACUGACGCUGAGACUCGAAAGCGUGGGGAGCAAACAGG
rnacentral:rRNA from 1 species